rnacentral:lncRNA from 1 species
AACCAUCACUUGAAUUCUAUUUGUUAUUCUUAAUAGGAGUUCAGUGACACCAUUUUAAUGAUUUUUCUGUAUUAUUUGGUGCAAGUCUAUAUCUUCAAUCAAUAUAUUCAAAGAGGAAUUACCAUUUACAGUGAAUAUAAGCAGGAAUACAAUGUAGACUAUAUAGGAUGAGUAUUAUUAAAUAAAAACUGCAAUUUUUUAGAGCAAUAUUAUGUUUUGUGUGUUACCAACAGCAAUCUUUAGUAAAUUGGUUGCAAAUAAACCUGAUGAGACUGUUGACUGAUACUUUUAUGAUUAUAUAUGAUGUAAGUGAAGUUUAAUCUAUUGUAUAUAAUGCCUUGUCAUGUCAGAAGCCACUAGAUUUUAAUUGUUAUUAAGCGUCAUAAAUCAAUUUUUUAAUUUUGAUUCUAUUGAAAAAUAUUUUACUGUGACAAAACAAGCAAGUGCUGGUAUGAAUCAAAAUUUUAUUUGAAUUAAUGUUUUGUUGUUCAAAUUGAAUAGUGUGCUGUCAAUGUAUUUGAAAAAA